UAGUCCAAAGCAAUCGGCGUGUCAGAGCCUUCACCUGGAAGAUGUGCUUUUAAUGUUGUGAGAAAGAAACGAUACUGCAAGAUGGUUGUUAGAAAAGGAAAAAUCUUCAGCGGGGAACAGGCAAACGCUGUAUGCCAGUAAAAAUACUUAAACAUGUCAAUGUUUUCCUCUUCUGUAUGGAUACACGCGUACUGUCCCCGUAAACACCAGGCUAAUUGGUCAAACUAUAAAGCUUACACAUUUUCUUAAGUGGUGAAUUUAUUUACAGCUGUUUGCUUAAGUGUCAUGUUCCUGUAGUGUGAAAACAGUGAGAAAAAACGAAUAGGCCUACCCUGUCCGCUGGACCCUAAACAUGAAUAAAACCACUUUUCAACCUAGUUUGCUGGGCUAGUGAGAAUAAAAUGAUGCUUAAUAGUAGGGUAUGCAUUUUAUUUGUAGAUAAUUAGUACAAAAUGGGAGGCGCGCCAGAGUUAAAAAGAUACAUAAAUAUAAUAUAAAAAAGUAUUUUGAAAAGUAUUGGCCGUAGGCCGUAGCUUCAUUGUGCAGCAGUUACAGAAAUACUCAAACCAGCCCAUGGAGAGCCGCAGUGGUGAUGGCAUUCUCUGUGGAUCUAUUUGCUCUGUUGGCGUCCUGGUCCAGGGUGGAUUUGUUGUGCUUUAAAACCAGUCUUUCAAAGCACUUUGCUGUGAUAGCCGUGAGAGGCACCGGUCUAUAGUAAAUGGGGCAACUGGUGUUGGUCUGUUUUGGCACUGGUAUUAUGGCUGAUUUCAGACAGGCAGUUUCACUGUGACAGAUACUGUUUAGGCUAGAAACAGUUAUGCUAAGUAAUCCUAUUGUCAUGAGGACAAACAGGUAUUUUAAUAAUAAACAACGCAGAAUACAAUUUCAUAUUAUUAAUAGAAACGUAUAGCUGCUAAUCACGCAUCAGUAAUUAACACAUUGGCUGAAUGAGUCUGUCAGACUGAAUUAAAGGUUAUGUGGUUCCCUAUGGGAAUCACAUCCAGGACAAUAGAAAACUCCCUUGGUGUCACUGGGAUUUUAUGGACAUCUAGAAACUCAGAAUAAGUCUGCACACCAAAGGUGUUGAAAACAUAAUUUCACAUGAGCCUUUAAAUGAUCCAAAGAAUGGAGAUUCUGCCUUUAAACACCUCAAGCAACAGGCCUUGAUUCUCGGAAACAUGGAAGCUUUGGAACUGCUCAUCCCAAACAGAUGUUAUAUAGAGUUUGGUGCUGGGGAAGGAACAUUGUACCAUUGGAUUCACCUGAACUCUCAAAGCAGUAGAACAUUUAAAAAAAAUUACUUGUGGAAAGGUCCAGUACUCGGUUUAAGGUGUGAUGUCAUUCAAAUA